rnacentral:rRNA from 1 species
GACAGAGGGUGCAAACGUUGUUCGGAAUUACUGGGCGUAAAGCGCGUGUAGGCGGCCAUCUAAGUCGGGCGUGAAAUCCCACGGCUCAACCGUGGAAGUGCACUCGAAACUGGAUGGCUAGAGUCCUGGAGAGGAAGGUGGAAUGCUUGGUGUAGAGGUGAAAUUCGUAGAUAUCAAGCGGAACACCGGUGGCGAAGGCGGCCUUCUGGGACAGUGACUGACGCUGAGACGCGAAAGCGUGGGGAGCAAACAGGG